rnacentral:rRNA from 1 species
AGUCGAACGAGAGAUGAGGAGCUUGCUCUUCAAAUCGAGUGGCGAACGGGUGAGUAACGCGUGAGGAACCUGCCUCAAAGAGGGGGACAACAGUUGGAAACGACUGCUAAUACCGCAUAAGCCCACGGCUCGGCAUCGAGCAGAGGGAAAAGGAGUGAUCCGCUUUGAGAUGGCCUCGCGUCCGAUUAGCUAGUUGGUGAGGUAAUGGCCCACCAAGGCGACGAUCGGUAGCCGGACUGAGAGGUUGAACGGCCACAUUGGGACUGAGACACGGCCCAGACUCCUACGGGAGGCAGCAGUGGGGAAUAUUGCACAAUGGGGGAAACCCUGAUGCAGCGACGCCGCGUGGAGGAAGAAGGUCUUCGGAUUGUAAACUCCUGUUGUUGAGGAAGAUAAUGACGGUACUCAACAAGGAAGUGACGGCUAACUACGUGCCAGCAGCCGCGGUAAAACGUAGGUCACAAGCGUUGUCCGGAAUUACUGGGUGUAAAGGGAGCGCAGGCGGGAGAACAAGUUGGAAGUGAAAUCCAUGGGCUCAACCCAUGAACUGCUUUCAAAACUGUUUUUCUUGAGUAGUGCAGAGGUAGGCGGAAUUCCCGGUGUAGCGGUGGAAUGCGUAGAUAUCGGGAGGAACACCAGUGGCGAAGGCGGCCUACUGGGCACCAACUGACGCUGAGGCUCGAAAGUGUGGGUAGCAAACAGGAUUAGAUACCCUGGUAGUCCACACCGUAAACGAUGAUUACUAGGUGUUGGAGGAUUGACCCCUUCAGUGCCGCAGUUAACACAAUAAGUAAUCCACCUGGGGAGUACGACCGCAAGG